GGACAUUUUCAUUUGCCUCCAUGGUUAAAAAACCCUAGGGUUUUAGGAAGGAGAGCGAGGAGUGUGACGAAGACACCAUCUACCUCUACGACCUCUCCGCUGCCUCUUCCCUCGGUUCCCUCAACCAACACUCUAACUCUAUCACCGUCCUCUCCUUUUACGCCCUUCUCAAUCUCCCUUUUUCCUGCAACCUCAUCUUCGCCGAUCUUACCACGCUCUUCGUCCAUCGGAAUGCCGCUAUCAAUGACCUCGCUCUGUACCCGUUCGGUGAGUGCGCCCUCAUCGUUGCUCGUGACAACUGCCUCACCAUCUUUAACCUCAUUCGCGACAGUCGUAACUACUACUUGCGCCUCGACAAGGAAUUGUGCUUCUUCAAAUUCUUCAAAUUGGAAUGCUCCAAGCCCGUUUUCUACGCUGCUCCUAUAAGGAUAUGUGCUUCUUCAAAUUCUUUCUCUGUUUUCUCGAAUUAUCAUGAAUAUCAUGUUGGUUAUUUUUAUUUUCUGUUUCUUUUGGUGUUGCUGAUUUGUCUUGUAUGUUUAAAAACUCUAGGGUUUAGGUAGCAUUUGAUUUGAUGAAGAAAGUUUGGUAUAUUGUCACUUGUUAAGUUUUUCGGGCGCAUAAUACUUGUUAAGUUUUAUGGGAUUCUUGUGGUGCAUUUUUAGGAGAUCUCCAUUGUGCUACCGAUGUUGCGUUUAGGGAAGAUUCAGAGGGCUUUUAAGAGGUAAUCUGGAUUAUAGGUGUGAAAUAGUGUAUGUGGAAAGGACAUCAAGAAGAGAUAAAAGAGCUGGUUCCGAAGAUGAAAAGCCAAUUGAAUUUGUUGAAAGAUAUAUAAUUGAGAAAGGUCCUUAAGCCCUCUCUCUGUAGUUCACCUGGUUGCUCUGUCAGGCUUUGGGCUUUAUGAGUUGGGCUUUCCUGUGCUUGCAAAAUGUGUGGAGAUUGGGCUCCCAGAAAUUGUAAUCUUACUAGUAUUUUCAAAGAAAUUGAAGAUGGACCCUAUAUGCUCAACUUUUUGUGCCCGUAAAUGCCAAUAUGCUCCCAAAUAGUGAGGCAUGUCAACCAGCAAAUGGUGACAAAGUGAUCUUCUGCAAGCUAAUAUGGGUCCAAGCCGCAACAUACCAAGCUAAGUUGAACUAUAAAGGCAAUGAUUUUAGUUUAUAAUCAUUAUUUGUCAAUGGAAUUUGAGAUCACGUUUAUAAUCAUUAUUCAUAAAUGAUAUUGGAUUGGUUUUAGGCUUGUUAGUUAUCUUGUAAGUUCAUAAUGAACUGUCAUCAUUAUAUUAUGAUGGAUGCAAAUCCUUACCUUAAAUAUUUUUAUGAUGAAAACAUGUUGGUUGGCGUGAGACACUAUGAUAAGAGUUGGAGAAUGAGCAACAUACAACCAGCAUAGCAGAAUGAAGAAUAAUGCCUUUUCUGAAGAAUACCAAGGUUCUUUCCUUCAUGACAAGCAAACAAAUCUAGAAGAUGAGUUGACAAAAUAUUCAUAGUACAUGGAGUCUCUAUAAGCAAAAGAGAAGCAAGUGAAACUUUUGUAGUCUUAACUGAUCUAAUAAAUCUACUAGUGUCUAGUAUGGUAUUUAUCAUUGUAAAUGAUUUUAACAUAGUACCAACUUAGAUUGAUAAGUUUGUUUAUUAUUAGUAUAUAUUAAAAUUGUGGCUAUUGAAUAGUAACACAUUAUAAUAGAUUCAUUAAUUGUUUGAGUUUCUUAAAGAAAAA